rnacentral:snRNA from 1 species
AUGCUUAUUUUGGCAGCACAUAUACUAAAAUUGGAACAAUGCAGAGAAGAUUAGUAUGGCCAUUGCACAAGGAUGACGUGCAAAUUUGUGAAGUGUUCCAUAAUUUU